AUCUAAACGUAGAAAAAUUUUGUCAUCUCCAUCAUAUGUCAUUAUCAUCCAAUUAUUGUCAUUACCAUACAUUAAUUAACCAUCACUAAAAUUUAUCCAAACAUGGUGUUAUUUGUUCUUACUUUUGACUUUCAUCUUACUAGUCUUUCUUACAUAUUCUUAUUUUAUACUGGAGUUUCAUAAGUAAACUUUGAAUAUCAUCAUCUUUCUUCUUUAUUUCCCUUAUUUU
rnacentral:lncRNA from 1 species